rnacentral:tRNA from 1 species
GCCUAGUUAGCUUAGUUGGUAGUGCGUCUGCCUUAUAAUAAGCGCUAGGCCGCGGGUUCGAUUCCCGCCCGGGGCG